UCCACUGGCCUGGCAGCUAGGAUUAUGCCUAACUGAUAUUCUUGUGAUGGGUUGUUUUUUGGGUAGUGAUGGAUAGUCCUUUAAUUGCGAGAAACCAAUACAGAUGCUGGAACACACUUCUGAGGGUGCGGUAAGAAGAAAUAUUGGAAAUUUAGGAUCAUAGGAGAAUAAAAUUCCUUAAGUCUAUAGGUUGGCUCAAGUGGUAAGAAUCGUCUUGGUGGUAUGCUUCCUCCAGGUCUAAAGUUCGAACCUUUGAGUGCAAACUUCUAGGGGUCAUUGCAGGGAAUUUCUUCUUGAGUUACCCAAGGUGCACUUGUAGAAAACUCCUUGCUAAUAGCCUAUGUACCUCUGGGAUUAGUCAGAACUUUGUUCUAGAUACCUGGUACCAGUACAGAAAUAAAAGAAAUUACUUAUCUGUUGAUUGUUUCUUAGAUGUAUUUUUCCCUGAUAAAUAGUUUUAAAAGA